GCAGCCCUGGGGCACCAGACAGCAGUGGUCCCAGCCGGAGAUGCUUCUGGAGACAAUGGCAUAUAUUAAAGGAUUGUGCUCAGGCCUGUGAUCUACUCCAGCCCUUGGUCUCUUGGGAUGGUGGUGCCAUUCAUGAAUCACUUCUGCCACACUCAUCACAUCAUUACUCGGAAGGAGCAGAAUGAGGACAGCGGAACCUGAACUUUAUCAGCAGAUGACGCAGGCUGAGCAGAGCAGAAGCAGCUCACCUCAUGCUGAGCUCCACGGCCACUAGACCCAGCAAACAGCAAAUGGGAAAAAUGGGGCCCGGAGGUGUGGGACCAUCAAAAGAAACCCAAAACUCAGUUAUGUGGGAGAAAAAGCCUCUUCCUAUUCUUCAUGUAUGAACUGACUGCCCCAUGACUAGCCCAUGAACUUCAGUCCAGUCUGCAUUAUCUUUGCUCCUCCUAACCUGCUUUUCAGCCAAUAACAUUUAACUCCUUGGUUCUCAACAUUAGUCUCCAAAACCUAUAUAAACUUUUCCUCUCUCUUUGUCUCCUUACCAACCAACUCACAACAAAGCUUUUUU